rnacentral:rRNA from 1 species
AUUGAACGCUGGCGGCAUGCUUUACACAUGCAAGUCGGACGGCAGCGGGGUAGUGCUUGCACUACUGCCGGCGAGUGGCGAACGGGUGAGUAAUAUAUUGGAACGUACCGAGUAAUGGGGGAUAACCAAUCGAAAGAUUGGCUAAUACCGCAUACGCUCCGAGGAGGAAAGCAGGGGACCUUCGGGCCUUGCGUUAUUCGAGCGGCCAAUAUCUGAUUAGCUAGUUGGUGGGGUAAAGGCCUACCAAGGCGACGAUCAGUAGCGGGUCUGAGAGGAUGAUCCGCCACACUGGGACUGAGACACGGCCCAGACUCCUACGGGAGGCAGCAGUGGGGAAUUUUGGACAAUGGGCGCAAGCCUGAUCCAGCCAUGCCGCGUGUCUGAAGAAGGCCUUCGGGUUGUAAAGGACUUUUGUUAGGGAAGAAAAAGGAGCGGUUAAUACCCGUUUCUGCUGACGGUACCUAAAGAAUAAGCACCGGCUAACUACGUGCCAGCAGCCGCGGUAA